rnacentral:rRNA from 1 species
GACGAACGCUGGCGGCGUGCUUAACACAUGCAAGUCGAACGGAAAGGCCCUGCUUUUGUGGGGUGCUCGAGUGGCGAACGGGUGAGUAACACGUGAGUAACCUGCCCUUGACUUUGGGAUAACUUCAGGAAACUGGGGCUCAUACCGGAUAGGAGCUCCUGCUGCAUGUGGGUGGUUGGAAAGUUUCGGCGGUUGGGGAUGGACUCGCGGGUUAUCAGCUUGUUGGUGGGGUAGUGGCUUACCAAGGCUUUGACGGGUAGCCGGCCUGAGAGGGUGACCGGCCACAAUGGGACUGAGAUACGGCCCAGACUCCUACGGGAGGCAGCAGGGGGGAAUAUUGCACAAUGGGCGGAAGCCUGAUGCAGCAACGCCGCGUGCGGGAUGACGGCCUUCGGGUUGUAAACCGCUUUCGCCGGUGACGAAGCGUGAGUGACGGUAAUGGGUAAAGAAGCACCGGCUAACUACGUG